AAAGUGAAAGAGAAAGAGAAAGAGAAAGAGAAAGAGAAAGAGAAAGAGAAAGAGAAAGAGAAAGAGAGAGAGAGAGAGAGAGAGAAGGUAUGAGAGAAGAGAAGGAAAUUAAAGAUAAUAAAGGUUUUAAAAGGUAAAAUAAGGAAACACGAAAUAAGUAUGAAAGGUAUAGUAAAGAAAAAGUGUGUAAGGCUGAAUAUGGAUAAAAAAGGAAUUAGGAAAUAGAGAAUUAGAUAAAGGGAAGCGAGUGUGAAAGGACGAAUAAAGGAAAAAGGGAAAAUUAGGAAAGAGGGGAGAAACAGCGAAAGGGAGAGUAAAGGAAAUUACAUAUAAAGGUAGAUAAGGAAGAUAUGAAUAAUUAUGUAAAAAUAAAACAUAGGAAAAGAUAGAGAAAGGGAAGGAGGUACAAGUAUGAAAGAUGGAAUAAGAGUGAAGGAAAAUAAUUACGAAACGUAGGGUAAAGAAAGGGUUCAUUAAAAUAAGGAAACUGGAAUAAUCACAAUAAACCAGAAAAUAGAAAGGGAGAUAGAUAUAAAAGGUGAAAUGAGGGCAUAGGAAAUAUGAAAUAAAGAAGGGGGAAGUCAAUAUGAAAUGCAGAGUAGAGGAGAAAUAAGUAUGAAUGAUAAAAAACAAAAUAAAGUAGGUAUGAGAAGCAGAUUGAAGAACAAAUGGAAAGAAAAAGGCGCAUGAAAGGCAGAAGAUAAACAGGGGAGAAGUGCAUAAGGGAAAAUAAAGGUAAUAGAAAUGAACAAGAGAAUACACGAAACGGGUAAAAUAAGUGUAAAAUAAAGAAACAGAAAAUGUAUGAAAGUGAAAAUGAAUAAAUGUAAAAGAGUAAACACAAAAGGGGAAAAUUGGGUAGGAAAAAGAUUAAGCAUUACAAUCUUUGAAAUUGAAAGUAAAAUUUAAGUUUCUGUGUGUGAAGUUAGUACGUGUGAUGCCUAACCUUAAGCAAGAUUGAACUUGAAUUGAUAAACAACGAAAAAUAAACUUAAAAAAAAGGAGAAAAUUUAAACAGCCACAGUAGAGAAAUUAAUAUAAAUCGUGACGUUUCGAACUCUUCACGAGUUCCUUUUCAGGUGAAGUUUAGACCGAAAUUUCAGUUUACUAUUCGUCUGAAGAGGAACUCGUCAAGAGUUCGAAACGUCACGAUCUAUUUUCAUUUCUUACUGUGGCUGUUUUCCCUUUCAUCCUUGUAUACACGUUUCUGUGCUUGCGUUUGUGCUAGAUCCAAAGGGUGGUUAAUGAUAGGAUAAAUCACGAAAUAAAGCAUAAACAAAAUAGGUAAAUAUAAAGGGUAAAGUAAUAGAAGGUGUAAAUAAGUGAGACAGACCGAAUGGUGUAAAAAUGAAUAUAAAUAAGCGUGGAAAAAGGUAAAUACAAUGUAAAUGCAUGAACCAUAGAAUCACAAGGGACAUAAUAUUGAUUAAGAAAUUAUUUAAGUGAAUGGUAUUACAAAAAAAAACAACAAAAAAAAAACUAGUUGGAAGGUUGAAUGAAAGGUGUGGAUGACACAUUGGGGAAAAUAAGUUAUUAGAAACUAAAUGUUUAUUGAAAAGAAAGUAAAUUUAGGGAAUUGGAAGGUAAAGCGAAAGUCACACGUUGGAUAGAGUAAUGUAAAAUAAAAGAAAGAUUAAGUGAAAUGAAUAAAUGGUAAAUUGAGUAUAGUAAGAGUAAGAACGAAAGGUUUAAUGAAAGGUAUGGAUGACUUAGCAGAGUUAGGAGUGAAAGAGAAAAUAAUAGGUUUAGUUUGAAAUGAACGAUGAAGUGAAAGGUAUGGAUGACAAAAAAGAAAAAAAGAAAAAAAAAAAAAGAGGUGUAAGGAUACAAAAAAUCGAAAAGGAAAUAUCUAAAUGAAAAAUAGGCAAAUUCUUGAUAUGGUAACAGAAAAAAAGGAAAAGGAAGGGUUAAAUGAUAUUCGUAGAUGAUUUGGAAAGAGUAAUGAAAGUAUGGAUGGCGUAUUGAAUAGAAAAAUAUAAAUCUAAGAAUAUGAAAAGUUAGGUAUGAAUUAUAAACUUGGAUAAUGAAAGGUAUGAAAGACAAAUAAGGCAAUGAAAAGGGAAAAAGAAAGAUUAAAUGGAAGGUAUGACUGAACAACUAAUUAAGGUGUUUAAUACGAAAUAAGAAGCAAAAAGAUUAAAGGAAAGGUAUGGACAGAAUACAAAAAUACGAAAAUGAAUGAAGUGGAAAUAUAAAGUAUGGAUGACAUAUUUGGGAAAGGGAAUACCACAUUGAAUAAUGCAUUGACUAAAUUGAAUGAAAGUUUAAUGGAAAUCAUAGACGAAAUAUCAGGUUCAGGAAUAUAUGAAAAAUAUUUAAAAUAAAAGGUUGAACGAAAGGUAUGGAUGUCACUGGGUCGAGUUUGAUUAAAAAAUGGAAAGGUAGAUAAAUGGUGUGGAUGACAUAUUCGAUAAUGUAAUACGAGUUUGUGAAGAGUAUGGAUUAGAUUGUGGAAAUAUUUAUACAUGGUAUCAAGUCGGUGUCAGUGAAAGGGACGUAUGCGUAACUGGGUUGAGAAAAGGAGAGAACGAAAGAACGUGAAAUAAAUUGGAGGUAAAAAAGGAAAACAAAAUCAGAAAUCCUCUGGAUUAUUAAAAAAAAAGAAAUGUCAUGGAUGAUAAUCCAAAAACAAAGAAAAAUCUGGUAAAUGGUAUAGAUGAGAGAGUAAAAGAAAGUGUGGCUGAGAGGGUAGGUUAUGAAAAAAAAAAAAAAAAAAAAAUGAAAGGUAUGGAUGACAUACUAGUUAGACCAUUACGAAGAUAUUACAGUUAAAGUGAAAUGUUUGGCUGAAAGCGGGUAUCGAAGGCAAAAUGAAAGACCUGAAUGGUUUAGUUUAGAAGCUAGAAGGUUAAAUGGAAUACGGGAGACACGGUCAAACACGAAAACAAACAAACAAACAAACAAACAAACAAAAUCACACGUAUAAUGAAAGAUAUGACUGGCUUAUUUAACAUACAACGUCUAGAAAAUGAAAGUGUGAAUCAAUGACACACUAGGGUAACUGAAGUCAGAGCAGUAAAAGAAUAUGAGAAAAGAGUAGGCUACGUGGAAAAAAAUAGUGAAAAAAUACAUGGAAAGUAUGGCUAAGACACUGGGCUGAGUAAUAUAGUAAAGAAAAAGGAAAUGAAGGUUAAAAAAUGGUAUGGAAGAUAAAUGCAUUAAGGAAUAUAACAGUAAAUUAAAAGUUUAAGACUACAAGCUGAGUCAAACAAUACGAAAUUAAAUAAGUGAAAAAUUUAACGAAAGCUGGGCUGAACAUUUAAAAUUGGGAACAUAAAAGAGUGAAUGACAAAAUUUAACAUAGUGAGUAUACUAUUGUAGAAAAAAAAAAAAAGAAAGGUUUAGGAAUUGGUAUGGUUGGCUAGGAAAAGCAAUGGAACAAUGGAGAAAAAAAUAAAAGUUAAAUGUGAGGUAUGGAUGAAAAAGAAACACUGGUUAAUGAAUGGUUACGUGAAAGGUAUGGGUAAUGCACUGAGAUUAAAUGAAAAUUAUGCAUAACUGGCAAGAUAAAGUAAGCAAGAAAAUUAAGGGUUUAGUGAAAGGCAUGGCUAACACACUAGAUAAAAUAAGUAGUAAAGUAGAGGUAAGAAAAUGAGUAGAGUAAGAAAAAAAGUAAAAUAGGUAAACAUAGAAUGAAGAGUGAAAUGUAUGAAUGGCAAAGGCAACAAAGAAGGGGAAAAAGAAAUUAUGGACGGUACACUGGGUAGAAUGAAGAUAAAUAAUGAAAGGUAAAAUACUGUAAAAAAUGAGAAAAUGAAAGAUUGAUGAAUGGCAAAAAUGUAAAAACGAGAAAAGAAUGAUUGGUGAAUGAUAAAAUAAUAUAAAAACGAGAAAACGAAAGGUUGGUGAAUGGUAAAAACGAGAAAACGAGUGGUUAAGUGAAAGGCAUAGGUAGAGUCAAGAAUAAAAAAAGUUGAACGAAAACUAUGUAUGUCAUGCAAGGCAAAGUAAAGAAAAAUGGACAAUUAGAUUAAAUGAAAAGCAUGGGUGUCACAGUGUUUUUAUAAGGUCAUGUUAAACUAAUGAUGAACUAGAAACCUAGAACUUUAAAUGACAUGUGAAUGACACAGGUAAAAUAAUACACAAAUAAUAUAAAACAGAGUAAUAGAAGGUCGCAUAUAGGGUAGGGAUGACAGAUUGAAAUAAUGAAUGACACAUUUGGUUGAGUAAUGCAAAAAUAUAUUAUAAAAUCGAACUGAACAAUUCAAAUUAGGAUCUUAAAAUACUGAAUGAAAGACAUAUAUAAUAUAUAACGAAAUGAAAGGUAUCGACAAUCCCCUGGGUAAAGUAAUAUAAAGUAAUAUAUAGAUGCAGUGAAAGAUAUGAAUGGCAAGUGUGGAGUAACGUAAGAAUGAAAUUGAACGGCUAAAUGAGAGAUAAUGAAUGUAGUUCAAAAAGAUUAAGGGAAAGAUACAGCUGAUGCAAUUAAUUUGAGCAAUGUAGAUAAAGAAAAUUAUAAGCUAAGUGAUAUAUAUGGAUGGCACCAAGGAUUUAGAAAUAUAAAAAUAGAAUAUAAAAGGCUUAUUGAAGGCAUGGAUGGUAGAAUGGGUAAUGUUAUACUAAAAAAUAAAAGCGUAAGUGUAAAGGGUGGAUAACAGAGUAAUGUAGAAAUGUGAAUGUGGAUGACUUAUUGGGUAGAUCAAGAAAGGAAAAUAAAUGUUUCAGGGAAAUGAAGGGUUAAAUGCACGGUAUAGAUGACACAUUGGGUUGAGUAUUGUAGAGUGAGGAAAAUAAGAGGUUGAGUGUGGAUGUCACAGGAUAAUAUAAGGGAAAAGUAGAAAACAUGAAAGGUUUAAUGAAAGGUUUAAUGAAAGGUAUAGAUGACAAGUGAGUAGGAUAAGCUAUACAUAAGGAGAGUCAAAGUAAAAGGUAUGUGUAGUGUAUUGACAAACGAAAAGUUAAUGAAAGCUAAAGUGAAAAGUAUACAAGAGGAAAGGAAAAAAUAAAAGGUAUAGGGGGUACAAUGGCAAUAGUGGUUUAAUAAUCAAAAGUAUGGAUUAAGUAAUGUAAAAAUGAUAAAACGAAAGGUUUAGUGAUGAAAGUUUUAGCUGAUAUGAUCGCAAGCAGAACAAGAAAAAAAGAAAAUGAGAGAUGAACCGAGAGGUUAAUUGCAAAGUAUAAAUGUAAGAUAUAGGUGAUAAAGGCAGAAAAGUAAUGUAAAAAUGAGAAAACGAAAUAUAUAGUGAAAGGUAUAGCUGCUGUAAUCAUGAGUAGAAUAAGGAAAACAAAUUAAUGGUGAACCGAAAUGUAUAUGUGACACAAUGUAAAUAAGACAACGAAAGGUAUGAAUGAAAAAAAAAAAAAAGAUUGUUAGAUGAAAUGUAUGGGUAGAGUAAGCCAAAUCUAAGGAAAUAAAAGGUUAAGUGAACGUUUUUAAUAGUAUACGGAUGGAUUAAGGUAUGAAUGAGGAAAGGAAAAGUUGGGUGACAGUAUAAUUGGGUAUGGUAAAGGACAGAUAAGAAAAUGGAAGGAUUUAAGUGAAAAUAAAUAAUGCAUAGGUAAGGUAUAAAAUUAAAUGAAAGGUUAAGUUGGAAGGCAAGCUGGGAAGAGUAAUGUAAGAUUAUAUGAAAGGUUGGAUGAAAGACACAACACAAAUAAAGACAGAAAUAAGAGGAAAGGUCAAAUAUAUGGUAUGGAUAACAGUCUGAGUACAGUAAAUAUUUUGCAAGGAAUGGGUGACUUACUGCCUAGAGUAUUGUGAUAAAGGUGGCAGCUAUAGAAAUGUGAAACAAAAAAAAAGUUAAGUGAAAGGAAUGAAUGGCAGACUAGAUUGUAAAGAACACAAUAAAAGCCACAGGUGACUGAGUAAAGUAAAAAUGAGAAUAUGAAAGGUCCAGUAAAAGGCAUGAAUGACCGUGGAUAGAGAAAGGAAAUAAUACAAUGAAAGGUUAGUGAAAGGCACGGAAUACACAUUGGGUAACACAAGGAAAAUGGAAAGCUUAUAUAUUAGAUAAAGUGGGAAAAGGGAAAGCUAUGGAUUAACCACUGGGCAAAAUAUGGGAAAAAAUGAAAGGGGUGAAAGGAAGCGUAAGAUGAAAAUAAGAAAAUAAAAGAUGAAAUGAAAGGUAUUGCUAUACACAAUGAGUAGACUUAAUGUAUAACUUGGAAAGGUUUCAUGAAUGGUAUGACUGCAUGGAAAGGGUAUUAUAUAAAUGCGAAAAUGAGAAACUGAAUAAAAGGUAUGGAUGAAUCACUGGUUAAAGUAAUGUAAUUAAAUAAACGGUUACAUGAAAGGCAUGCGUGAUGCAAUGGACAUUCGAAUGCAAAAAUGAAGUUAAAUGAAAAGUAAAGAUUACUUACCGGGUUUAGCAAGAAGUGAAAGUGAAAGUACAGAUGUCACAGGAAAAAAAAAAAAGAAAAUCUAAUAUUAUGUGAAAGGUAUGUGUGGCAUUAUCAACAGACUGAUGAUAAAUGAGAUAAUAAGUGAAAGGUCAAACGAAAGGUAUGGAUAAUAAUACGAGGAAAAAAGAAGAAAAUGAAAGGGGUGAAAGCUUAAGUAGUGUAAAAUCGAGAAAAUGAAAUCUGUAGUGAAAUGUGUGUAUGGAACACUGGGUGCAUAAUAGUUUAAACAAAACAAUUAAAUGUUUAAUUAAAAGAAUGUGUCAAGCUGGGCAUAGUUGGAAAAGGAAAAGGAAGUGAAAGGUACCACUGACACAAUGAAAAGUUGAAUAAAAAGAUAUGGAUGACACAAUAGGCAGAGCAGAGAAAAUUAAAAGGGUAAAGUGUAUAAACGAGAAAACGAAAGUUUAAGUGGAAAGUACUGUAAAAGUGAGAUAAUAAAAGGUUCCAUAAAAGGUGUGGAUGAUGCACUUGGUACGGGAAUGUUAAAAGGAAGAUCAGUUAAAAAUAAAGAUGACUUGCUGGGUAGAGUAAGAAGGAAAGUAUAAAGUACGGGUGUCACAAAAAAGUAAAAGGUAUGGAUACCACUAUCGUUAGAAUAGGGAAAUAAGGGAGAAAAUUAAAGGUUAAGGGAAAGGUAUGGAUAAUGAAAAGGAAGAUGAAAGGAUGGUGAAAAGUAUGAUAAGGUAUAAACGAUAAAAUGAAAGGUUAAGUCAAAGGUAUAGAUGAAACACUGGAAUAUAAAAAUAUAUAUAUUAAAUAUAUUAAGUAAGAAAAAAAUAUAGAGAAUGAAGGUUAAAUGAGAGGUAUGAAUAAUACAUUGUGUAAGAGUCGGGAAAAAAAUAUUAAUGAGGGGUGAGGGAAAUAGAACCUUAAAUGAAAUGCAGAUGCCAAAGGAAAAAUGAUACGAAAAAAAAAAUUGAGUAAUAGAAGCUUGCGUUAAGGGUAUGGAAGACAGAUUAAGUAAAUUAAUAAAAUCAUAUGAUACAGUAUGGGUAACACAUAAGGUGGAGUUUUGUAGAGUAAGGAAAAUUGAAAAAAUCAAAGGUUGAGUAUGGAUGGCGCAGUAGAAUUUAAGGGGAAAAAAAUAUGAAAAUGAAAGGCUGAGUGAAAGAUAUAGAUAACAUACUGGGUAGAAUAAAGUAUGGAUAGGGAGAGACUAAAUAAAAUAUAUGUGUGAUGUAUUGUAAAAAGGAAAAGGAAAGGAAAAGUUAACGACAACUAAAGUGAAAGAUACAAAUGCAGCAUUUGGCACAGUAUUUUUUAAAUGUAAUGUAAAAUUUGGAAAACGAGAAGUUAAGUAAAAAGUAUGGAUGUCAGACUAUGCAGAGUAAGAGGAAAGGAGAAAAUAACAGAAUGAAGGGUUGAAAUGGGAAUUGUGAUGCAUUAAAUCUAAAGGUAUGGGAAACACAAUUGGUUAAGUAAUGUAAACAAAUAUAAAAGGAAAGGCAUGGAUGUUACAAUUGGCAAUGUAAAAAAAAAAAAAAAGCAAUGUAGAAAUGGGAAGAUGAAAGGUUAAUUGACAAAUAUGGAUUAGAUGGAUGACAAAGGGCAAGGAAUGUUAUGAAUAGGAAAAUGAAAGGUUAAGUGAAAGGUAUGGAUGAUGCACUGACAAGAAGAAACGGGGAAACAAAAAAUGAAAGUUUAAUUACGACACAACUGCAAUGUACCAAUGGUAUGGAAGGUUAAGCAUAAAGUAUGGAUGACACUGGCUACCGGUGACAUACUAAGUACAGUAAAAAUACGAAUAUGAAAAGUCAAGUGAAAGCUAUGGAUAACAAUGGAUAAAAGAAUAUGAGAAGUCAAGUAAAUAAGAAAAUGAAAGGUUUUUGAAAGGUAUGGAAUACACAUUGGGUAGAAUAAGAAAUAUAAGGGAUAAAAGGUAGCAUAAUGUAUGAGAAAAUGAAAGGUUGGUUGAAAGAUAGUCUGAAACACUGGGUAUAGCAAGUAAUUAUUAAGUAAAUUAAAAGUUACAUUAAAAGUGUACAUGUCAUGCUAAGCAAAGUAAGGCUUAAGUAAAAGGUAUUGUUGAUACAGCGAGUACUUCAAAAAAGGGGGAAAAAGGUUAAAUAAUAGGUUUGAAUCAAACACAGGGAAGAGUAAUGCAAAAAUGAGAAGGUGAAUGGCUACAUGGACUGCAUAAAUAGGGUAAAGUAAAUCAAAAUGGAAAGUUGAGUGAAAGGUAUCAAUAACAUACAGGGUAUAACAAAAUAAAGAUAAAAGAAUAAAUGUUAAGCGAAAGUUUUGAAUGAUGAUUUGGGUAGAAUAUGGUGUAAACAAAGAAAUUAAAGGUUAAGGUGAAGGUACCAAUGAUACAGAAGGGGAAUUAAUGUAAAAAUAAGAAUAUGGAAGGUCAGGUGACAGGUGUGGAUGACAAGCUGGAUAGAAUGACGUAAAAUUAAGACAACGAGAAGUUAAAUAAUAUGUGAAGGUAUAAGUGAAAUGCAUGGUUAAAAGAUGUACAUUAAAAGGUGAAAGGUUAAGUGAAAAGAUGAGGUACUGAAUAUAGGAAGGGUGAAUGAAAAAUGAGAAGUCAGUUGCAAGGUGUGCGUGACAGUAAUGUAAAAAAAAAAAAAAAAAAUGAAAAAAAAAUUAUGGAUGACACACUAGGUAGAAUGAAAGGUUUUGCUGACAUACAGGUUGAAUUAAUGGAGAACUUAGAGAAUUAAAAGUUAAAUGAAAAGUACGGAUGACAAACUAAGUAGAAUAAAGGCGAAAAAAACAACUGGUGACAUGUAGAGUAAAGUAAAAAUGAGAAUAUGAAAGGUCAAGUGAAAUGUAUGAAUGCCAGUAGUUUGAGUAAAGAAAAAUAUGAAAUGGAAGAUUUAGUGAAAGGUCUGGAUAAAAAUGAAAGGUUUAGUGAAAGGUAUGGAUGAAAAUGAAAAGUUUGGUGAAAGGUUUGGAUAAAAGUGAAAAGUUUAGUGAAAGGUCUGGAUGAAAAUGAAAAGUUUAGUAAAAGGUAUGAAUAAAAAUGAAAGGUUUGAAAAUUAAAGGUUGGCAUAUUAGACAGAAUGAUGAAAAUGAGUGAAAGGUAAGAGUGAUAGAUGGGUAGGAUAAGGAAAAAGAACAUGGGGGGGGGGGGGGUGAUAGGUAAUGUAUAAAAUAAGAAAAUUAACUAAUAAGAAAAUUAAAAUGGAUAAAACAAAGGGCAAAGAAAGCUGUAAAUAAGAGAAUGAAAGAUCAGGGAUAAUGCACUGAAUAGAGUAAGCGAGGAAACAGAAAAUUAAUAUUUAAUUACGACACAACGUCCAGAGCAGUGUAAAAAUAUUAAAGUUGUAUGGGAGGGUUAAGCACGGGGUAUGGAUGACUCUGGGUAGAAUAAGGAAAAUUUAAGCAGAUGAUCGGUUAAAUGAAAGGAAUUGCUGACACACUGGUUAAAGAAACGAGAAAUUAAGAAAAUAAAAGGUUAAUUGAAAGGAACGGAUGGCAAACUAGACAAAAUAAAUGAAAAAAGAAAAUGAUACAAAAAAAAAAAAAACUAUUGGUGACAUACUGAAAACAGUAAAAAUAAAAAUAUGAAAGGUCAAGUGAAAGGUAUGGAUAACAGUGGGUAGAGUGAGGAAAAAUGAGAAAGUGAAAGGUGAUUGAGAGGCACUGAAUACAUUUUAGGUUGAAUAAGAAAACAAAAGGCCGACAUACUCGACAGUAUAAGGAGAAGAGUGAAAGCUAUGGAUAAUAUACUAGGUGUAAUAAGAAAAAGAAAACAAAAUGAAAGGGUGAAGGUGUAAAAGGUAGAAUAAGGUAUAAAUGAGAAAAUGAUAGGUUGGGUGAAAGGUAGGCUGACAUACUCAACAGUAUAAGGGGAAGAGUGAAAGCUAUGGAUAAUACAUCAGGUAGAAUAAGAAAAAAGAAAAAAAGAAAAAGAAAGGGUGAAGGUGUAAAAGGUAGAAUAAUGUAUAAAUGAGAAAAUUAUAGGUUGGGUGAAAGGUAGGGAUGAAACACUGGGUAGAGCAACUAAUAAAUAAGAAAAUGAAAUGCGAAACUAAAUGUUUACAUGGCAGAGUAACGCAAAAUGAAAGCUUAAAUGAAAGGUAUGUUUGACU
rnacentral:lncRNA from 1 species